rnacentral:misc_RNA from 1 species
GAUGAAGAACGUAGCAAAAUGCGAUACUUGGUGUGAAUUGCAGAAUCCCGUGAACCAUCGAGUUUUUGAACGCAAGUUGCGCCCGAAGCCUUUUGGCCGAGGGCACGUCUGCCUGGGCGUCACGCAUCGCGUCGCCCCCCACAAUUCUCCGUAAAAGGAACAUGUGUUUUGGGGGCGGAUAUUGGUCUCCCGUGCUCAUGGCGUGGUUGGCCGAAAUAGGAGUCCUUUCGAUGGACGCACGAACUAGUGGUGGUCGUAAAAACCCUCGUCUUUUGUUUCGUGCUGUUGCUCGCAAGGUAAACUCUUUAAAAACCCCAAUGUGUCGUCUCUUGACGACGCUUCGACCGCGACCCCAGGUCAGGCGGGACUACACGCUGAGUUUAAGCAUAUCAAUAAGCGGAGGA